UACGAAGGGGGCUAGCGUUGCUCGGAAUCACUGGGCGUAAAGCGCACGUAGGCGGAUUGCUAAGUCAGGGGUGAAAUCCUGGAGCUCAACUCCAGAACUGCCUUUGAUACUGGCGACCUUGAGUCCGGGAGAGGUGAGUGGAACUGCGAGUGUAGAGGUGAAAUUCGUAGAUAUUCGCAAGAACACCAGUGGCGAAGGCGGCUCACUGGCCCGGUACUGACGCUGAGGCACGAAAGCCAGGGGAGCAAACGGG
rnacentral:rRNA from 1 species